rnacentral:rRNA from 1 species
GACGAACGUUGGCGGCGUGCCUAAUACAUGCAAGUCAACUGAAGCAAGGUAGCAAUAUCUUGUGGAGGUGGCGCACGGGUGAGUAACACGUAGGUAAUCUGCCUUCAGGUCUGACAUAACUCCGGGAAACCGGAGCUAAUAGCAGAUGAUGCAGCGGCUUGACAUCAAGACAGUUGUUAAAGCUUCGGCGCCUGAAGAUGAGCCUGCGUCUGAUUAGCUAGUUGGCGGAGUAAUAGCCCACCAAGGCGACGAUCAGUAACUGGUCUGAGAGGAUGAUCAGUCACACUGGAACUGAGUCACGGUCCAGACUCCUACGGGAGGCAGCAGUAAGGAAUAUUGCUCAAUAGGGGGAAACCCGUA